rnacentral:rRNA from 1 species
ACGUAGGGGGCAAGCGUUGUCCGGAAUCAUUGGGCGUAAAGAGCGUGUAGGCGGCCAGAUAAGUCCGCUGUGAAAACUCGAGGCUCAACUUCGAGCUGUCGGUGGAAACUAUUUGGCUAGAGUCCGGAAGAGGAGAGUGGAAUUCCUGGUGUAGCGGUGAAAUGCGCAGAUAUCAGGAUGAACACCCGUGGCGAAGGCAGCUCUCUGGUACGGAACUGACGCUGAGACGCGAAAGCGUGGGGAGCGAACAGGA